UACGAAGGGGGCUAGCGUUGCUCGGAAUCACUGGGCGUAAAGGGUGCGUAGGCGGGUCUUUAAGUCAGGGGUGAAAUCCUGGAGCUCAACUCCAGAACUGCCUUUGAUACUGAAGAUCUUGAGUUCGGGGGAGGUGAGUGGAACUGCGAGUGUAGAGGUGAAAUUCGUAGAUAUUCGCAAGAACACCAGUGGCGAAGGCGGCUCACUGGCCCGAUACUGACGCUGAGGCACGAAAGCGUGGGGAGCAAACAGG
rnacentral:rRNA from 1 species